UACAGAGGGGGCAAGCGUUGUUCGGAAUUACUGGGCGUAAAGGGCGCGUAGGCGGCCUGCUAAGUCAGACGUGAAAUCCCUCGGCUCAACCGGGGAACUGCGUCUGAUACUGGUGGGCUUGAGUUCGGGAGAGGAAUGUGGAAUUCCAGGUGUAGCGGUGAAAUGCGUAGAUAUCUGGAGGAACACCGGUGGCGAAGGCGGCAUUCUGGACCGACACUGACGCUGAGGCGCGAAAGCCAGGGGAGCAAACGGG
rnacentral:rRNA from 1 species